rnacentral:misc_RNA from 1 species
UCUCCGUAGGUGAACCUGCGGAGGGAUCAUUACUGAGCGAGGGCCCAAGGCCCAAACUCCCACCCUUGUGGUCGCAUCAGACGAACAGGUGCCCCGGGGGCGACCCGGCCCCGGCUGGGCCCCCCGGCGGACGACCGCCCAACCCUGAGACACGUCGUCCCAGUCAGACAAACAAAUGAAGCAAAACUUUCAACAAUGGAUCUCUUGGUUCUGGCAUCGAUGAAGAACGCAGC